rnacentral:tRNA from 1 species
GGCGGGGUAGCUCAGGUGGUUAGAGUGCACGACUCAUAAUCGUGAGGUCGGGAGUUCGAGUCUCCCCCUCGCUA